CCUUUUGUGGCUGUGACUGCCCGCCCCCACAACGCCCUUCUCUGUCUCCGUUUUCUUCACGGGGUUCUGAACUUUUGGGCAAAUGUGUCAAGUAGGAACACAGACAAAGCCUCACUUCAAAGCUCUUGUUAAGGGCCCUUAAAGUCAUAGUUAUUGCGAAACUACGGCCGUCUGGCGAACCUGCCUUAUGUAAGGGUGCUUGAAAGUAUGAUUCACCAAACGUUUCCGCGGACAUUGCAAAGUUGUUGGAGCCAGAGUAGGAGAAAGACCACCCAUUUGAGGUCAUGGCUUGACAGGGAACACUCCCUCCUGACACGAGAAUGGGACCAAUCUAGAAAUCUCUUCUCUGCCUCGCCUUUUUUUGGAGGGUUGGGAUAGUGGACUGUCUUCAUGCAUGGUGAGAUGAUCAACACGAACAGCGGAGGGUCCUAGGUCCAGCUUCCAGGUAUCAGCCCCACACCUCCUAGCUUGUGGAUCAAGCUCCUGUGGAGGAAGCUAACACAGCAGUUCUCUGAAGUCUGGCAUCUCUUCUGCUCUGGUUCCGCGUUGCAAGGGUCUGACCCUAAGCCUGGCCUCUUUAAAAAGCAAAACAAAAGGGAAGACGCCCUGGAGAGGAAUUCUGGGAAAUUAGUAUUCGGAAGAAAGGUCGCUCUCCAGGAGGACUUUCUGAGUCAGGGAAAACAUUGCUUCAUAUCACACAAGAACGAACCGGCCUUCUGACACCCCUGUUACCACCACUAACGCCCUCCACAUGAGUGAACUUGGAACACGUGCCGGCCCUCUUUGGACCAUGCUCAUUCUGAGAUCCACAAGCUCAUGGAUGAGCAACAAUGUUGUUAAAAGCAGCCAGUGGUGACUGUGGCCUUUUAACGUAUAAGCUGAGAAAGAAAAGAUAGCAGGUACAUUUAUACUGUAAAACAAGAGCUUGUUGAUGAUGAUUUUGUGCAAUGCAUUAUGCCCAUACUUAAGGUGCAUCCAGUUAGACAUGCUCAGUUCUCAGUGACCCAGAAAGAGGGACAUGAGUAUAAAGUGAUACAACUCAAAAUAUCUUGGGAUGGAUGGAGCUCAGGGAAGAAGAGCUCAGACACAAACAGCAGGGAAGGUCACGUAUACCAAGAUGAAGUGUAAAUAUUUUAUCCAGCGGACAGCAGGGGCAGGAUGGGCACAGACGAGAAUGGUGUGUAUUCAUGGCUCCACACACGCCUGCUUCUAUCCACACCUGUAUGUUGACAUAAAUGUUAUCAGAUUUCUUAGAGUCUAAUUUUAAAGCCACUACCGACACCUUCAUGUGGGGCAGGAUAAGAAAGAGUGGGCAGCGAGCCUGCAUUUUGAAAAGAAGCCUCUUUGCACCCCACAUUUAAGAUCCCUCUGGGCUGUGAAAGAAAACCAAAGACACAAAAACCACACAGAAGCAGAGCUUAAUGGACGAUGGUAAGGAUGUCGGAUCACAGCUGCCCCCUUCCCACCCCAGGAACCACUCUUUUGUCAUAAAAGCAUCGCCUCCUUGCGUUCCCUUCUAGGUAGCCAUCUCAAUGUGUGGCCCUCGACACUGCAGAUUCACACUGUCCCUUCUCUUGGAAAUUGUUGGAUAGCCUGUGAUUUUUAAUACCG
ensembl:lincRNA RIKEN cDNA 4933406C10 gene